rnacentral:snRNA from 1 species
AGAGAAUGACGAGAACCCGGGAGGCAGAGCUUGCAGUGAGCCGAGAUCGCGUUGCUGCACUCCAGCCUGGGCGACAGAG